UACAGAGGGUGCGAGCGUUAAUCGGAAUUACUGGGCGUAAAGCGUGCGUAGACGGUUAUUUAAGUCGGGUGUGAAAGCCCCGGGCUCAACCUGGGAAUUGCAUUCGAGACUGAAUAGCUAGGGUACGGUAGAGGGAAGUGGAAUUUCCGGUGUAGCGGUGAAAUGCGUAGAUAUUGGGAGGAACACCAGUGGCGAAGGCGACUGCCUGGACGACACCGUGACGCUGAGGAGCGAAAGCAUGGGGAGCGAACGAGG
rnacentral:rRNA from 1 species